UACGUAGGGGGCUAGCGUUGUCCGGAAUCAUUGGGCGUAAAGAGCGCGUAGGCGGCUAGAUAAGUCCGGUGUGAAAGUCACAGGCUCAACCUGUGAAUGCCGCUGGAAACUGUCUGGCUAGAGUCCGGAAGGGGCGAGUGGAAUUCCUGGUGUAGCGGUGAAAUGCGCAGAUAUCAGGAGGAACACCGGUGGCGAAGGCGGGUCUCUGGGCCAUAACUGACGCUGAGGAGCGAAAGCGUGGGGAGCAAACAGG
rnacentral:rRNA from 1 species